rnacentral:rRNA from 1 species
UGCAUCUGAAAUCAAGCAGGAUCACCCGCUGAACUUAAGCAUAUCACUAAGCGGAGGAGAAGAAAUUAACUAAGAUUGCCUCAGUAACGGCGAGUGAAGCGGCAAGAGCCCAAACUGGAAAUCUCGUACCUUCGGUACGCGAAUUGUAAUCUAAAGAGUGCUUGCUCACCGGGGAGUGGCGCAGAAGUUCCCUCGAACGGGACGCCAGAGAGGGUGACAGCCCCGUAUGUGGUGCCAUUCCCUAACGAGUGGGUGUUCAACGAGUCGGGUUGUUUUGUACUACAGCCCUAAGUCGGAGAUAAACUUCUUCUAAGGCUAAAUAUAUAUGGGAAACCGAUAGCGAACAAGUACUGUGAAGGAAAGAUGAAAAGAACUUUGAAAAGAGAGUCAAAAGACUUGAAAUCGUUGAGAAGGAAGCGGUAGAAAUUUAUCCUUCUGCGGAGGUCGGUGGUCCUUGCCAAACCAUUGCUGGUGGGUAGUACUGAAUAAGGCUACCUUUGGUACUUGGGGAAGCGGAGCCUUGACCUUCGUAGUGCGGCAAAAUGAGGUCGCAUUUCCACAAAAGCUUCUUGCAACCGGGCUUCUUCGGAGGUCAGUGUGGGUGUGCUGGUGGCAAUGCGGCCUGAGGAUGCAUUUGCGAUUUUGCCAAAAUGGUUUUUACCGACCCGUCUUGAAACACGGACCAAGGAGUCUAACAUAUAUGCAAGUGUGCUGGUGGAAAAACCAACACGCGAAAUGAAAGUGAGUGAUGCCAAGACCCCUGCAGCAUCAACCAACCAUGAUCCUCCGGUGAAAGGUUUGAGUAUGAGCAUAUCUGUUAGGACCCGAAAGAUGGUGAACUAUGCCUGAGUAGGGUGAAGCCAGGGGAAACUCUGGUGGAGGCUCGUAGCGGUUCUGACGUGCAAAUCGAUCGUCAAACUUGGGUAUAGGGGCGAAAGACUAAUCGAACCAUCUAGUAGCUGGUUCCCUCCGAAGUUUCCCUCAGGAUAGCUGGGACAACAACGCAGUUUUAUUAGGUAAAGCGAAUGAUUAGAGGCAUCGGGGGUAAUAUGCCCUCGACCUAUUCUCAAACUUUAAAUUGGUAAGAACCCUGGCCUUUCUUAAGUGAGGCACGGGGGAUCAAUGCGUGUCCCAAGUGGGCCAUUUUUGGUAAGCAGAACUGGCGAUGAGGGUUGCUCCUAACGUUGAGUUAAGGUGCCCAACUGCACGCUCAUCAGAUACUACAAAGGGUGUUGGUUCAUACAGACAGCAGGACGGUGGCCAUGGAAGUCGGAACCCGCUAAGGAGUGUGUAACAACUCACCUGCCGAAUGAACUAGCCCCGAAAAUGGAUGGCGCUAAAGCGUGCGACCGAUACUCGACCAUU